rnacentral:lncRNA from 1 species
CUCGCUCGACCCCAGUCCAUCUCGCCCGACCUCUAUGUGUCUCGCUCGACCCUUGUCCGUCUCGCCCAACCCUGUCUGACUCGCCCGAGUGCUGUCCGCCUCGCCCGAGUGUUGUUCGCCUCGCGCGAGGGCUCGGUUGUGUCUUUUUCUUGGACCGAGGAUAUCUGUGUAAAAUUCCAGAGACUUCUCUGUGUUAAAUCUGAGGACCCCGGUAUAGUUAUUCCUUAAGUCUAAGGGUCAGAUCGUAAGUUUUUCCCGAUCCGACCC